AUUUUUAUAGUGUAAACAACACAUUACAUUUUCGUUGUAAAACCGAAGAUCUCCUUCUAAAAAUU
rnacentral:tRNA from 1 species